rnacentral:tRNA from 1 species
GGAUUGUGGCUCAGUGGUAGAACACUUGCCUACCAUGCAUGAGGUAAUGGGUUCUAUCCUCAGCACCA